AUACGUAGGGUGCGAGCGUUAAUCGGAAUUACUGGGCGUAAAGCGUGCGCAGGCGGUUGUAUAAGACAGGUGUGAAAUACCCGGGCUCAACCUGGGGACUGCACUUGUGACUGUACGGCUGGAGUGCGCCAGAGGGGGGUGGAAUUCCACGUGUAGCAGUGAAAUGCGUAGAUAUGUGGAGGAACACCGAUGGCGAAGGCAGCCCCCUGGGGUGACACUGACGCUCAUGCACGAAAGCGUGGGGAGCAAACAGGAUUAGAUACCCUGGUAGUCCACGCCCUAAACGAUGUCGACCAGCUGUCGGGCCCGUAUGGGCUAGGUAGCGAAGCCAACGCGAGAAGUCGACCGCCUGGGGAGUACGGCCGCAAGGUUAAAACUCAAAUGAAUUGACGGGG
rnacentral:rRNA from 1 species